rnacentral:tRNA from 1 species
CGACGUGUAGCUCAGUAGCAGAGCACCGGGCUCGGGACCCGGAGGGCGCAGGGGCGGAACCUGCCACGUCGGCUA